rnacentral:misc_RNA from 1 species
GAUGAAGAACGCAGCAAAAUGCGAUAAGUAAUGUGAAUUGCAGAAUCCAGUGAAUCAUCGAAUCUUUGAACGCACAUUGCGCCCGCCAGUAUUCUGGCGGGCAUGCCUGUUCGAGCGUCAUUUCAACCCUCAAGCACAGCUUGGUGUUGGGACUCGCGUUAAUUCGCGUUCCCCAAAUUGAUUGGCGGUCACGUCGAGCUUCCAUAGCGUAGUAGUAAAACCCUCGUUACUGGUAAUCGUCGCGGCCACGCCGUUAAACCCCAACUUCUGAAUGUUGACCUCGGAUCAGGUAGGAAUACCCGCUGAACUUAAGCAUAUCAAUAAGCGGAGGA